GAUGAAGAACGUAGCGAAAUGCGAUACGUAAUGUGAAUUGCAGAAUUCAGUGAAUCAUCGAGUCUUUGAACGCACAUUGCGCCCCCUGGUAUUCCGGGGGGCAUGCCUGUCCGAGCGUCAUUGCUGCCCUCAAGCACGGCUUGUGUGUUGGGCCUCCGUCCUCCUCCCGGGGGACGGGCCCGAAAGGCAGCGGCGGCACCGCGUCCGGUCCUCGAGCGUAUGGGGCUUCGUCACCCGCUCUUGUAGGCCCGGCCGGCGCUUGCCGACACAUCAAUCUUUUUUCCAGGUUGACCUCGGAUCAGGCGGGGAUACCCGCUGAACUUAAGCAUAUCAAUAAGCGGAGGA
rnacentral:misc_RNA from 1 species